rnacentral:rRNA from 1 species
CCUACGGGUGGCAGCAGUGGGGAAUAUUGCACAAUGGGCGAAAGCCUGAUGCAGCAACGCCGCGUGAGCGAUGAAGGCCUUCGGGUCGUAAAGCUCUGUCCGCAAGGAAGAGAAUGACGGUACGUGAGGAGGAAGCCCCGGCUAACUACGUGCCAGCAGCCGCGGUAAUACGUAGGGGGCUAGAGUUAUCCGGAAUUACUGGGCGUAAAGGGGGCGUAGGUGGUUUCGGAAGUCAGAGGUGAAAGGCUACGGCUCAACCGUAGGCAGCCUUUGAAACGGGGAAACUUGAGUGCAUGCGAGGCGAGUGGCAUUCCUAGUGUAGCGGUGACAUGCGUAGCUAUUAGGCGGCACACCAGUUGCGAAGGCGGCUCUCUGGACUGUACCUGCCACUGAGGCACG